rnacentral:rRNA from 1 species
AGCUACACAUGCAGUCGAGCGCACCUUCGGGUGAGCGGCGGACGGGUUAGUAACGCGUGGGAACAUACCCUUUUCUACGGAAUAGCCUCGGGAAACUGAGAGUAAUACCGUAUAAGCCCUUCGGGGGAAAGAUUUAUCGGGAAAGGAUUGGCCCGCGUUAGAUUAGAUAGUUGGUGGGGUAAUGGCCUACCAAGUCUACGAUCUAUAGCUGGUUUUAGAGGAUGAUCAGCAACACUGGGACUGAGACACGGCCCAGACUCCUACGGGAGGCAGCAGUGGGGAAUCUUAGACAAUGGGCGCAAGCCUGAUCUAGCCAUGCCGCGUGUGUGAUGAAGGUCUUAGGAUCGUAAAGCACUUUCGCCAGGGAUGAUAAUGACAGUACCUGGUAAAGAAACCCCGGCUAACUCCGUGCCAGCAGCCGCGGUAAUACGGAGGGGGUUAGCGUUGUUCGGAAUUACUGGGCGUAAAGCGUACGUAGGCGGAUUGGAAAGUUGGGGGUGAAAUCCCAGGGCUCAACCCUGGAACUGCCUCCAAAACUAUCAGUCUAGAGUUCGAGAGAGGUGAGUGGAAUUCCAAGUGUAGAGGUGAAAUUCGUAGAUAUUUGGAGGAACACCAGUGGCGAAGGCGGCUCACUGGCUCGAUACUGACGCUGAGGUACGAAAGUGUGGGGGAGCAAACAGGAUUAGAUACCCUGGUAGUCCACACCGUAAAAC